AUGAAGACAGUGAUCGAGUCCUUCCCCCGCCCUCCCCCCCGCCAUCCUCUCCUCUCCAGCUUGAACAUCCUCGGUUUCUUCUCUCAACCCACAACAGACUGGCUGCGCUUACUAUUUACUCCGAGGCGUUGUACGGCUUCCCUCACACAUAGUGAUGCAGGCCACACCCCCCACCGCCAGCACAACAAUCCCGACCCUCCUGCUCCGCCCUCGCCCGCUGCCCCUGUCCGCGGUGCUGAAGCGGCUCCUGGCCCUCCGCGGCCCUGGCCCUUCCCAGCACCACCCCCGGGCCCCUGGCCUGGACCCCCGCUGCGCCACCUCCGCGCCCCCAGCGGCAGGCGCGGCCCGGUCCAGGCCCGGCCCCGGCGCCGCCCCCCGCCCUGCCCCGAGGCCCCGAGCCCGCGCCCCGGCCCAGCGCGCCAGCCCCACCUGCCCGACGAAGGGCGCCUCCGCCUCGGCCGCCCGCGCAGCCGCCACCGCCGCCCGGUCCCCGGCCCCCGCCGCCGCCGCCGCCGCCCCGCGCGGGGCCCGGGAGGCAGCAGAGCGCGGGCAGCAGCAGCAGCAGCCGCCCGGGGCCGCCAGCGGCUCCAGCGCGGAGCCCGGCCAGGCGGCUGCGGCCCCGCGCGGCGCGGCCGCCCCGGCUCCUCGGCAUCCCCGCGGCGGGGCCCGGCCGCCCGGCUGCGAUGGCGGCGGCGGCGGCGGCUCCGGCCGGGUCCUCCCGCUGCAGCCGCUGCGGAGCCGCCGAGUCACGGCGCCGCGGACACGCGCCCGGCCCGCCUGUCUCCGCCGCCGCCGCCGCCGCCUCGGCCGCCAGCGCGCCCCCGCCUCCGCGCGCCCCGCCCCAGCGGGGGGCGGCCCAGGGCGCGGGGGCAGCACCCGGGCCAGACCACGGGGGCGGCGGCUCCUGGCCGGCCGCGGGGCACUGGCCGAGGAGGGCGCUGGGAGGGGGUCGCAGAGGCCAAAAUAGCAGCUCUGGAAGCAGGGUCCAAAGGGGUGGAACUGGAGGAGGGGAGUGUGGGGGGCAGCCCUGAGGGAGGGGAAAGAGGCUAA
rnacentral:lncRNA from 1 species